rnacentral:rRNA from 1 species
GACGAACGCUGGCGGCGUGCUUAACACAUGCAAGUCGAACGGAAAGGCCCUGCUUGCAGGGUACUCUAGUGUCGAACGGGUGAGUAACACAUGUGAGUUCUGCCCUCCACUUCUGGAUAAGCCUUCGAAAAUGGGUCUCUUACCGCGUAUGAGCGCUCCUUCGUGUGGGUGUUGGUAAGAUUUUUCGGUGUAGGAUGAGCUCGCGGCCUAUCAGCUUGUUUGUGGGGUAAUGGCCUAACAAGGCGGUGACGGGUAGCCGGCCUGCGAGGGUGGACGGCCAAAAUGGGGAUGGAGAACGGCCCAGACUCCUACGGGAGGGAGCAGGGGGGAAAAAUGCAAAAUGGGGGGAAGCCUGAUGCAGCGACGCCGGGUGGGGGAUUAAGGCCUUCGGGUUGGAAAAUCCUUUCGCUAGGGACGAAGCUGUUUGUGACGGUAACUAGAUAAGAAGCACCGGCUAACUACGUG